ACCAGGAUGGCCGAGAGGUUAAGGCGUUUGACUUAAGAUCCAAUGGACAUGUGGGGUUCGAACCCCACUCCUGGUA
rnacentral:tRNA from 1 species